UACAAAUGUAGAAUGUGUUUAGAAAUUUUAAAACAACCCCAAAGAUCAUAUGCUUCAUUAUUAGAGCAUUUACCGAAAAAUUCAUAUUUUCGAAGGGGUUAACCUAUAGAUUUUGAGAAAAAUUCAAAAAUAUUAAAAUUCUAUUUUAAUGCAUAGUUGCAUCCUUCACUAACAUAUGAUGAAGGUCAAAGAGGUUUGGAACCUUUUGUGUCUCCGUUUUUUCUGGAGAAUGGCGAUUUUAUAAUUGUUAGUCCACCAAUUUAGGGAGUAUUAUGAAGUUUUACUAAAUUAAUUGACAAAAAAUUAAAACGCUGUCCAUGUACAAUGAAAGAGAGUUUAAUAUACAUUAAUACAAAUGUAGAAUGUGUUUAUAAAUUUUAAAACAACCCCCAAGAUCAUAUGCUUCAUUAUUAGAGCAUUUACCAAAAAAUCAAUAUUUUCGUAGAGGGUACCCAUAGAUUUUGAGAAAAAUUC